UUGUGUCGUAUGGCAAUGGUCGCAAUUUAUAGCCUUCUCGUCAUCAACAAGUCUGGUCACUUAUAUAGUACAAAAGGACUAUGGGUUGGCCUGGAGAAUGGACACCAACGACAGUCUACAAUUUGCAAGCCACUGGCAUUUGAUGCAUGCUAUCUCGCAUCAGUUGUCCCCUACCAUUGGUUGUAACGGCAUUGAUAUCCUAGGCCUGCAGCUUCGACCUCCAGUACUUCUUCCAAUCUCUCGAAGAGGUGCAGGAAGAGAAAGGUUUGAUCUUUGGCGUCCAUGGCCACUACAUAGCAACCGACUGGAACACGUAGAGCAGAGCUGAUGUGGUCAGCCGACAAGCCGUGGCCCUUGGACCCUCACCAACUCAGCCAUCCUCGGGCCCUGAACUAUCUGCGAGCGUUAGGAUUUCAAUUGCAAACUAGGCUUGCAGCCAUCGGACCUGGAGAAAUACUCAGCUAGGUCUGGGGCAUAGCUAUAGCAGUCCGUCCUGAACAUCAGCAGUUUCAGCACUUCUCUGAUGACCACUCCAAAGAUCUUCUGCAGCGGCGUCAGCGGUGAUACAGGGGUGCGUGGGGUUGUCAAGGACAAGGGGACCUACUGCAAGAGGUAAAUGAUUAGUUGCAGCAGCAACUGCGGUCUCGGCCUCGGCUACAAAUCCCUGCUGGUGAACCCCGGUAGACCUAGAUCUGUUGUCGACGUCUUCCGAUGACCACAUCCCGAAGAAAUUUCUAUGAGUAACUAACAAAGGCCAAAUAGCAAACAAGAAGCAGAAAAUCCGAGGUCUGAAUUAUGUAGGUAAUUUGUUGCUAUUACACAUGCAGAUGCUUUUUUCACUUAUUGUAUGUAUUUGAGUAUGAAUCAGAUAUCUUAGCGACAAAUACAAGAUAGAUUAUAUAUCUUGUUUGAAUUGUCCACCACCAAUCCGAGUUACAAACUGAGUUGUUGUUUGCAUUACUGUUCUACUGUGAUCAUGUACAAGUUGUUAGGAUACUGUCUAUUAUCUAAAAUAUUCCCCAUAUGAAAACAC